UACGAAGGGUGCAAGCGUUACUCGGAAUUACUGGGCGUAAAGCGUGCGUAGGCGGUUUGUUAAGUCCGUUGUGAAAGCCCUGGGCUCAACCUGGGAAUUGCAGUGGAUACUGGCGAGCUAGAGUGCGGUAGAGGAUGGUGGAAUUCCCGGUGUAGCGGUGAAAUGCGUAGAGAUCGGGAGGAACACCCGUGGCGAAGGCGGCGACCUGGACAAGGACUGACACUCAACUACGAAAGCGUGGGGAGCAAACAGGG
rnacentral:rRNA from 1 species